CCGAGUUAUUCUACUCCCAAACCCCUGUGAACUUAUACCUUUACUGUUGCUUCGGCGGGUUAACGCCCCGGAAGGCCCGCGAGGGCCGCCGGAACCAGGCGCCCGCCGGGGGACCCAAACUCUUGCUUUAAACAGUGGCAUACUCUCUGAGUCUCACAAACAAAAAAUGAAUCA
rnacentral:misc_RNA from 1 species